rnacentral:rRNA from 1 species
UGGGGAUUAUUGCACAAUGGGCGCAAGCCUGAUGCAGCCAUGCCGCGCGUAUGAAGAAGGCCUUCGGGUUGUAAAGUACUUUCAGCGGGGAGGAAGGGAGUAAAGUUAAUACCUUUGCUCAUUGACGUUACCCGCAGAAGAAGCACCGGCUAACUCCGUGCCAGCAGCCGCGGUAAUACGGAGGGUGCAAGCGUUAAUCGGAAUUACUGGGAGUAAAGCGCACGCAGGCGGUUUGUUAGGUCAGAUGUCAAAUCCCCGGGCUCAACCUGGGAACUGCAUCUGAUACUGGCAAGCUUGAGUCUCGUAGAGGGGGGUAGAAUUGCAGGUGUAGCGGUGACAGGCGUAGAGAGCUGGAGGGAUACCGGUGGCGAAGGCGGCCCCCUGGACGAAGACUGACGCUCAGGUGCGAAAGCGUGGGGAGCAAACAGG